UUUUUUUUGUUUUUUUCUGUCCACCCUGGCCAUCGGACCUUACUCCUUUUCUAUGUUAACUAAUGUUGCCUUAUUUUAAUUUCUUAUUUUGUCUUUUAUUUUUCUUUUCUUCAUUACGUAAAGCACUUUGAGCUACUUUUUGUAUGAAAAUGUGCUAUAUAAAUAAAUGUUGUUUAGUGCAUGUACUUCUUUUCUGUAAGCAGUGUUGGGUUAAUUGACUCAGAAUUCCACUGUCGCCCACUGGUAGAGAUCAAGCCAUGUCAUUUUGUAUUGUGCCUUUCCAUAAUGAACCUUAUGCUAAUACUUUUUAUGUAAUACGUGUGCUUCUUCUCUGUGAGCACUUCCAGGUUAAAUGACUCCUCCUUAAAUCAGUGGUAGGGAGUGAACCGUGUCAUAUUAUAGAGUGCCAUUCCAUAAGAAACCCUUGUUUAAUAAUCCUUAGAGGUGUAAUAAAGACUUUCUUUUCUUUAAGCACUGUCGGGUUACAUGACGCUACCAAUCAGUGGUGAGAAUCACAUAUUGUCAUUAUAUAUGCACCUUUCCAUAAUGAUAUCACUCUGGUAUUCCUUGCAUGUGUAGUGCAGUUACUUGUUCUCCACAGGCAGUUUUUGGUGACUCGUUCAGAAUUCCACUCUUCCUCAAUGGUAUUAAAUUGUGUCAUUUUAUAUAGUGCCUUUCUAUAAUGACUUCAAUUCUGUUGCUCAGUUCAUCUAUAUUCCAAUCCCACUCAUCUAAAGCAGGUUUAUGGGGAAGCAGAAGCCUAUCCCAGCAAGCACUGGGCACAGGGCAGGAACAACGCCUGGAUGGUACCACUCCUUUAUAGGUUUCUAUUAUUCCACAGUGGUAUAAUGCAGUUACUUCCUUCAUGGAUGUGCUGUUGGUUUAAGUGAAUCAGUCAGAAUCACAAUGUCAUUUGGCAGUAGGGACUGAACUGUUAUUUUGUAGAAUGCCUUUCCAUAAUAAACUGCAAACUAAUAAUCUUUAGCUGUUUACCACAGUUUCAUCUUCACAAGAAUACUCCCAGGUUAAAUAACUCCCUUUAAUUAAUGGUAGGGAAUGAAGUAUGCCGUUUUCUGUAGUGCCUUUCUAUUCCAAACUCCACCAUACGAUUCCAUAAGAUGCAACACAGUCAAAUCUUCACUAUUAGCACUGUCGGGUUAGGUGAUUCCCCAGUUGGUGGUAGGAAUCAAACAUUGUCAUAUUAUAUAGUGCCUUUCCAUAAUGAGCUCUGCUAUUAUUCUUUACAGAUGUAUUUCAGGUGCUUCUUCCUUAAGCACUGGUGAGUUAGCCGAUUCAUUCCGAAUUCCACCUCUGUUCCUGGUAGCAGUCAAACUGUCUCAUUUAAUAUAGUGCCUUUCCAUACCGAACUCCACCAUAGUAGUCCAUAGGGUAUACAGUUGUAUCUUCCAUUAUUUGCCCUGUUGAGUAUAGUGACUCUUCCAGUCAUUGGUAGGAAUCAAACCAUCAUAUUAUAAAGCACCUUUCCUUAAUGAGAUGUACUGUGUUAUUCCUUGCUGAUGGUUUUGUCAACUUAUUCAGAAUUCCAUUGUCAGUUGGUGGUAGGGAUCAAACCAUGUCAUUUUAUAUAGCGCCUUUCCAUAAUGAGCUCCAGUCUUGUUGUUCCUUACAUGUGCAGUGCAGUUUUGUUUUCACCACAGUCACUGUGGGGUUAAGUGACUUACUCUGAAUUUUGCUCUCAGAGGUAGGGUUUAAAUUGUGUUAUUUUAUAUUUUGUGCCUUUCCAUAAUGAACUCCACCCUGUAAUUUCCUACAUGCAAAGUGAAGUUCUUUCUUCUCUGUAAGCACUGUUGAGCUAGCGGACUUAUUUAGAAUUCUGCUCUCGGUUAUUGGUCAUAUAAUUUCUAUAUAGUGCCUUCCCAUAAUGAACUCUGUCCUAAUACUCUUUACAGAUGUAACAGUUACUACUUUAUAAACUAACUUGCUCAGGCACACACAGAGCUGAUUGAUGUGCAGUGACCCAGGUCUCUUGUGCUGUCUCAGUUCAGUGAUUUAGCCACUGGGCGACACUGGUAGAGACAUUCCUACUGGUUUUUCAAACCUAAAACACUAACAUAAAAUCCCUUCUCAGAAGAAAGUCCAGAUCAAGUUAAAAGGUGUACAGUUUUAUUUUUAAUAGAACAUUAAUUCCUUUUAAAAAACAUUCAACUGGGCUUUUGGAACCCAUAGAAAAAACACCAAUCUUGUGUUUAAUUUUUUAGGUUUUUUUUUUUCUAAUUUUGGCAUUUGUUUUGCAUUUAUAUUAAGCAAAGUGCAUCUUUUUUCUUUAUCGUUAACACAUUGCACAAUACAUAAAUAACAAUGCUUAUAAAAC